CGUGCUGAUCUAGGAACGGAAUGAACAGAAAACAGAGAUUAAAGACAGGUAGCCAGUGAUGACAGACAACAAGACAGCCACCUCCUGCAGAACUUUUGCAUGGACUGUUGGAACUUUUGCCGAUUACCCCACUAUUGGACCUGACCUGGAAAGCCUGAAAAGUACAACUCUUCCUAGCUUGGAUUUCUGUGUGGCCUUCUUGGAAUGAAUUUGAGUCCUGUAAAACUUAUUUUGCAGAAAAAGCUUAGAGUAAAUCAAGGAAUGUCAGGUCUCCAAGCAAAAUGCAAACCAAAGAGAGUACUAACAUCUUCAGGUCAUCAGAGAAAGAGGUGUAACUGUUCAGCAGAAGUGGCAGAAGAGCCAUGAGUGUUGCCACACCAUGAGAUCCAGAGCUGACAGAUCACAGCUCUCUGUACCAGGAUAUCCUGGCAGCUGCCUUAGUUCUACAGCCAUCCUGCCAGAGGAAGCUUUUGCUCCCAUAGGAUCUGGCAAAGAUGGACAGCCCUUCAGCUGGCUGGGUCUCCAUCCACAUCAUCAUUUCUGCCUGUGAAACAGCUGCACAACAGCAC